ACCUGGUUGAGGAGUCCCACAAUAGGACGAAACGACCGUCCAGUGU
rfam:Schistosoma rodhaini strain Burundi genome assembly, scaffold: SROB_scaffold0009004